rnacentral:rRNA from 1 species
GACGAACGCUGGCGGCGUGCUUAACACAUGCAAGUCGAACGGAAAGGCCCUGCUUUUGUGGCGUGCUCGAGUGCCGAACGGGUGAGUAACACGUGUGUAACCUGCACUUGACUUUGGGAUAACUUCAGGAAACUCGGGCUAAUACCGGAUAUGAGCUCCUGCUGCAUGGUGGGGGUUGGAAAGAUUCGGCGGUUGGGGCUGGAUUGGCGGCUUAUCAGCUUGUUGGUGGGGUAGUGGCUGACCAAGGCUAUGACGGGUAGCCGGCCUGAGAGGGUGAACGGGCACAAGGGGACUGCGAUAGGCAGCAGACUCGUACGGGCCGCAGUAGUCGGGAAUAUUGCGGAAUGGGGGGAAGCCUGAGGCAGCAACGCCGCGUGCGGGAUGACGGGCUUCGAGGUGUAAACCGAUGUCGCAGUUGACGAAGAGGGAGUGACGGUAAUGGGUAAAGAAGCACCGGCUAACUACGUG